rnacentral:rRNA from 1 species
GACGAACGCUGGCGGCGUGCCUAAUACAUGCAAGUAGAACGCACAGUUUAUACCGUAGCUUGCUACACCAUAAACUGUGAGUUGCGAACGGGUGAGUAACGCGUAGGUAACCUGCCUGGUAGCGGGGGAUAACUAUUGGAAACGAUAGCUAAUACCGCAUAAUAUUGAUUAUUGCAUGAUAAUUGAUUGAAAGAUGCUAUUGCAUCACUACCAGAUGGACCUGCGUUGUAUUAGCUAGUAGGUGAGGUAACGGCUCGCCUAGGCGACGAUACAUAGCCGACCUGAGAGGGUGAUCGGCCACACUGGGACUGAGACACGGCCCAGACUCCUACGGGAGGCAGCAGUAGGGAAUCUUCGGCAAUGGACGAAAGUCUGACCGAGCAACGCCGCGUGAGUGAAGAAGGUUUUCGGAUCGUAAAGCUCUGUUGUAAGAGAAGAACGGGUGUGAGAGUGGAAAGUUCACACUGUGACGGUAUCUUACCAGAAAGGGACGGCUAACUACGUG